CACCCUGGCUAUGGGCAAAGAGAACCCUUGGUGGUGGUGGUGUUCUUAUACCAGUCAGGGGCAGAGCAGAUGGCAGUCCAUUGUUCAUCCUAGCUUCAUGCCUAGCUUGGUGGCCAAAGCUGUUUUAUGCCUAGUACAUAUAA
rfam:Mus musculus chromosome 16, GRC primary reference assembly.